UACAAAUUUAAGGGGUACAAGUGCGAUUUUGUUAUAUGGAUAGAUUGCAUAAUGGGAAAGUCUGGGCUUUUAGUGUUCCCAUCCCCA